GGGGGGGGGGCGCACAAAAUGUUCCACCUUUUUGUUUUGAGUUUUACUGACUGGACAAGAGGAGAUAACAUCCUGCAAUUGUGUACGUAAUUCAUCCUCCAACCACAAGGGAGAAGAAAGCAACGGAGCACAUCGUUCAAUUCUAUCGGUGUAUGGGCUGGGCAGCUGCCUGCUGACUCCUGAUUGCAGAGAGACGGCUAAGCUGAGAGGCUCCAGGAGGUAGAAGUGACACUGGAUUCCGAGAAGCUGCUUGGAAGAGAGGCUCGACACAUCAAAUAGUACUC